rnacentral:lncRNA from 1 species
AGAGGCUAAGUAAACUGCCUGAUGCCACACAGCAACAUGCAGUGAUGAAUAUGAGUUUCAAACUUGGAUUUGUCUGGCUCCAAAAUCUCUGUCUUCUAUAACAGUAAAACAAAGGAGGAGAAGAACGAGAGGUGGUACGCCUAGAUGGCCAGGUGAAAAUGGAGCACUGCCAAGCAAGCCCCAAGGAAAUGUGCAACCUCCACAGGAUGUUUUAUUAUUGGCUUGGGAGGAAGUGAUGAGAAAUUGAAGUACAGAGAUGUUUUUUUGUACUAUGUGACUAUGGCCAUCCCAGUGCUGGUAAUGAUGGGGUGAAGGUGUAUUCUCAACAGGUAGACUCCAGGGCCUGCCCCACUUCUGUGGAAGUGAUCCUGGCACAGUGAAGCCAUACGAACUGGCAGAGGCUUCGGAUCAGCCAUACCACAAAGGAUGUUGCUUUUCCUAGCAGGGGCCCUAGGGAAUUUUCUGAAAGAACCAGGACUUGACACUGAUAUAGGGAAGUUUUGUAUACCCUGAGGUCUUAUCAGUAAGAGAAAUAACUAAAUAGGGCUGAAUAAAGUGAUCGCAUUGGUCCUCUUCUACUCCA